rnacentral:misc_RNA from 1 species
GUCGUCUAGGAACAUCGAUGCAGUAUGAUACGUUUGGAUUUACUGCUGCUGAAGUUGCUCGUAAACAAGCUGAAAAGGAGCAAAAGCAGAGGCCCUCUGCUAUACCUGGACCAGUUCCGGACGAAGUGGUACUUCCAGUGACAGACUCCAUUGGUCUCACAUUACUGCAGAAAAUGGGAUGGAGGCGUGGCCGCUCAAUUAACAGCUCACAUACUGAUUCACUAUAUAAUGCUAAGAGAGAGGCAAGAAAAGCUUUUCUUGCAUUUUCUUUUGCUGAUGUGGACGGACAACCUUUGGACUCUGGGUUAGCUGAAGAUGCUGCUGACCCUAUCGCGGAUUUACCAACUGAUGAUGGGAACCAUUUUUCUAAAAGCACACCGGUUUAUUUGCUUAAUCCAAAGCAAGAUUUGCAUGGUUUAGGC